UCGACGCAGCAAAGAAGCAGCUAAAAAAUUUUCACACACGACAAUUGGACAGAGACGGCAAUAGCAAUUGGAAACAAUUUCAAUGCCUCAUAGAUUCAGGAAGUCCUAUUUCGUUUAUUAAAAAAUCGUGUGUCCCAGUUGGAAUAAAACUUAAAGCACACGCAGAAAAUUACUUUGGGCUAAAUGAAAGCCAGUUAAAUGUGAUUGGAAAAACAUUUGUUCAUAUUUUCAAGAAGUUUGAGAAAAUAAAUUUUUGGUUAAUA